rnacentral:rRNA from 1 species
GAUGAACGCUGGCGGCGUGCUUAACACAUGCAAGUCGAACGGAAAGGCCCAAGCUUGCUUGGGUCCUCGAGUGGCGAACGGGUGAGUAACACGUGGGUGAUCUGCCCUGCACUUCGGGAUAAGCCUGGGAAACUGGGUCUAAUACCGGAUAGGACCACAUUUUGGAUGGUGUGGUGGAAAGUUUUUCGGUGUGGGAUGAGCUCGCGGCCUAUCAGCUUGUUGGUGGGGUAAUGGCCUACCAAGGCGUCGACGGGUAGCCGGCCUGGGAGGGUGUACGGGCACAAUGGGACUGAGAUAAGGCCCAGACUCCGACGGGAGGCAGCAGGGGGGAAUAUUGCACAAUGGGCGCAAGCCUGAUGCAGCGAGGCCGCGGGGGGGAUGACGGACUUCGGGUUGUAAACACCUUUCGCUAGGGACGAAGCGUUAUGUGACGGUACCUGGAGAAGAAGCACCGGCUAACUACGUG